UGAUAUACUAUAAGUACGUAAGCAAGUUUAUGGUGGUGGCUAGCUCUUUCAACAAGAAAGGGUGAUGCCUAUGACUUUUUUGUUAGGAACUCCUGGAAAGGAUAACCCUUGACCGUUUAUGAAGCACUCUCUUUUGCAGUUGCUUUUACAACUUUAGUGUUGUUACUAAACAG
rnacentral:sRNA from 1 species